UCUUUUGUAGCUUUGGGCCUUGUGGUGCAUUCACUGAAGUCAGUAAUUGCCCACUGGGAACUAUUUUUGAUAGUUCUCACGCCCCUGUUUCUAUGUUUCCUUUUCAGAGCCUUCGGCACCGGCGGAGGCACGGGAUCGCGGCAAGGGGAUCGCGUAGCUAGCUAGCGAGGAGCUUACUUGCCUAGGUGGUUUACUCUUUCUUUUGUAGUUGAGAGAGUGAGAGUUUUUGUACCCUGUAUAGAGACCACCUAUGUAUCUACUCAUAGUACUUGUCUUUGGGAUUUCCUAUUGUAUUUACUUUAUGUUUGAUUUAGUGGACUUACAGUUUGAACUUUAUCCCUUGUUGUUAGCAAUUAGACAUUUUCUAUGCUCUGAUACUCCUAGAUGUCUUUUAUUAUUGCUCUUAUCAUCGUUGUUUUUAGACGCCUUAUAUGUUGUAGACAUAUGGCGGGUCUGGGCACGCGCCGGGCGGGCUUUCGUUGGGUCCCGGGGCGUGACAU
rnacentral:lncRNA from 1 species